CGCUUCUUCCCCGUUCUGUCGAUCCCCUCUCCGCUCGCCUCCUCCUCUCCCGGGUCGAUGCGCCGCCGGCUCAGCCGCUUCUCCUGCGUCUUCUCCUCCCCGCUCCUCUCCUCACAGCUGAGUCCUCGACCAGAUCGGCGUUCAUCUUCAGUGGCGGCGGCAUCUUCAGCGGAGGAGGCGGGUGGUUGUGGCGGCGGCAUCUUCAGCGGCGUCGCCGGACGAGCUCCAUGCGCGGGGGAGAUAUCUCCACGGGCCCGCGCAACCACGUCCCCUCGCUGACGUCGGCCUCACAAAGAAGAGGUCUAGUCUGCCCGUGCCGCCGAGGAGGGGAGCAGCCGCGCUCGGAGGAGUGUGAGAAGGCAAGCCGUCCCAACGUGCCGGUGGCGGAGGGCAGCGCCGAGCCUCUCAAGUUUUUCUUCUUCUCUUAGGGACAAUGCUGAUGCCAUCAAAGCGAAGUACAUCAUCGAGGCUGCUAACCACCCAACAGACCCCGAGGCCGACGAGGCAAGAACACCAACAUUUUGCCACAAAACUAAGCGAAGUACAUCAUCGAGGCUGCUAACCACCCAACAGACCCCGAGGCCGACGAGGCAAGAACACCAACAUUUUGCCACAAAACUAAGCUGCAUUUGUUGACACAUUUCACACAUUGACUGAUA